GCCCGGGUGGUCUAGUUGGCUAUGAUUCUCGCUUAGGGCCUUAACCCUAAGUACUUAUAUGCGAGAGGUCCCGCGUUCGAAUCGCGGCUCGGGCC
rnacentral:tRNA from 14 species